GAAAACUUGAAAACUACCAUUGAAUUGACAAAUGAAUGUCCGAGAUUCAUCCACAUCACUAUGAGUAAAAUUUUUACUCAUACGUAAAUUUACGAGGAAAAUUUUUACUUAGUGAUGUGGAUAAAUCUCGGACGUCUAUUUUUCGAUCCAAGGUAAUUUUCAGGUUUCC
rnacentral:pre_miRNA from 1 species